UUCACAUCAUGAAGAUAAUUGGGCAGUUGCCCUUAAUAUGAACACAGAGGUCAUCUUUGUAGAGAAUGAAGAGAAUUGGUCCUAGAACACUGCCUUAGGGGACACCACUAUUGACA